UACGUAGGGGGCAAGCGUUGUCCGGAAUCAUUGGGCGUAAAGCGCGUGUAGGCGGCUUGUUAAGUCCGCUCUGAAAGCCCGGGGCUCAACCCCGGGAGGCGGGUGGAUACUGGCAAGCUCGAGUCCGGAAGAGGCGAGUGGAAUUCCUGGUGUAGCGGUGAAAUGCGCAGAUAUCAGGAGGAACACCAAUGGCGAAGGCAGCUCGCUGGGACGUGACUGACGCUGAGACGCGAAAGCGUGGGGAGCAAACAGG
rnacentral:rRNA from 1 species